rnacentral:rRNA from 1 species
UGACCGUAAACGAUGUGGACUUGGUGUUGGAAUGGCUCCGAGCUGCUCCAGUGCCGAAGGGAAGCUGUUAAGUCCACCGCCUGGGAAGUACGGUCGCAAGACUAAAAACUUAAAGGAAUUGGCGGGGGAGCACCACAACGCGUGGAGCCUGCGGUUUAAUUGGAUUCAACGCCGGACAUCUCACCAGGGCGACAGCAGAAUGAUGGCCAGGUUGAUGACCUUGCUUGACAAGCUGAGAGGAGGUGCAUGGCGUGUGACUGU